rnacentral:rRNA from 1 species
CUCAAAGGAAUUGACGGGGGCCCGCACAAGCGGCGGAGCAUGCGGAUUAAUUCGAUGCAACGCGAAGAACCUUACCAAGGCUUGACAUGAACCGGUAAUACCUGGAAACAGGUGCCCCGCUUGCGGUCGGUUUACAGGUGGUGCAUGGUUGUCGUCAGCUCGUGUCGUGAGAUGUUGGGUUAAGUCCCGCAACGAGCGCAACCCUCGUUCUAUGUUGCCAGCGCGUUAUGGCGGGGACUCAUANNNNNCNNCCGGGGUCAACUCGGAGGAAGGUGGGGACGACGUCAAAUCAUCAUGCCCCUUAUGUCUUGGGCUUCACGCAUGCUACAAUGGCCGGUACAAAGGGUUGCGAUACUGUGAGGUGGAGCUAAUCCCAAAAAGCCGGUCUCAGUUCGGAUUGGGGUCUGCAACUCGACCCCAUGAAGUCGGAGUCGCUAGUAAUCGCAGAUCAGCAACGCUGCGGUGAAUANGUUCCCGGGCCUUGUACACACCGCCCGUCAAGUCA